UGCAGAAUGCUGCCAGGCACGUUGUGUCCCUUUUACGCAAUGCCCUAACUAGUGAGUCAAGCUCACCAUCACAGAUGGAAUUCAAGAUAGACCAAACAUAGAUUUGGAAAUUACAGAACAACACGAAGACAAUCAAAACAGCCUUACAGAAUUAGUCAGCAAACUUAAAGAGGCAAUAGACCCUACAACCAUUUUCAGUGUCUGUGUCACAAGGGAGGACAUGUUCAACCGAGGCUUGGCACAAUGGAAGCGGCAGAAGAAGUCGUCUCCAAAGAAUCCCCUCAGAGUUACUUUCAUUGGAGAGCCUGGGAUAGACAGUGGUGCUCUUAUGAAAGAAUUCCUGACCGAAAUGAUGGCCGGGAUUGAGGCAAAAUUCUUCGAGGGAGGGAAUUUUGGGAAAAAUCUGAAGUAUUCGAUUACAGAAUUUCAGAAUGACAAUUUCAGGUAUGUCUAUACUGGAGUUUUUCAUUUAAUGCCAUUUUGCCCAUUUAUGAACGGCUCAUGAUGUACUUUGGGACAGUUGGUGAAAUAAUGGCUGUGAGCAUUACACAGGAUGGCCCUCCACCUAACUUUUUCAUGGAGUGGAUGUACAAUUUCAUCUCUUCCGGGGAGAUCAAUAAAGAUCAGCUGUCAAAGGCUGAUGUAACAGAUGCAGACCUGCUAGAUCUUAUUGCUAAGGUUUUCUAAUUAAACUCUGUCACCAAAAUAUACACGUAUUUAUUUAUAAUUUAGGUUGUAGUCAAA